rnacentral:lncRNA from 1 species
AAAAUUAGUUCAGUAAAAUUAAUAAAUAAAAUAUUAAACAAAUUCUUUGUUUCCUUUCUCUGCAAAGGUUAAUGCAUUCUUAUAUCAGAGGCAGUUAGGUGGCAAAGAAGACAGAGUGCUUCAUUUGGAGUCAAGAACUGAAUUCUUCCUUAAAUACUGAGUAGGCAUGUGACCCUGGGUCUGAAGAUCAUUCUCUUUGGCAGAAAAAAAGAUCAGAAAUAAAAUAAGAGUUGAGUAGUUCUGCUUUCUUCCCAUCAUCAAUCAUUAUUGUCUCAUUCAAUUAAAGAGCCUUUGGAGCCAUCCCAGAUCACCCACAUGGAGAUACUCUGAAGAAGGCUUGCCCAAGUAUGCCCAAAUCUCCUAAAAUGGAGACACUCUUCAUCUGGACCACAUAGGUGAGUGUAACCUCCUUUGAUUGUCUGUGUCACUGGAGCA